CUAAUCACCAUUAUCUUGAACUUCUGCCUAUUUAUUUUAGGUGAUAGCCACUUCCUAGCCUUGGGUUAUCACCUCCAUCCUCCCCUUCCCUCUUUCCUCAGAUCCACUGUUUGCUCUUUUCUUUGUUUUGAGGCAGGGUCUCACUACAUGGUCCAGGCUGGCCUUGAACUCCUGAGCUCAAUCGAACCUCCUGGCUCAGCUUCCCAAGCACUAUAACUCACAGGUGCACGUCACCAUGUCCUAGUUCAUCCAAGCUGGGAUCCCCACGGAGAACCAUGGGGACAGGAGGGGAGAGGAAGGCUCAGAGAUAGAAGCACACACCAAGCACCCAUGGGCAUCAGCAGCCCUCACAACCCUUAAGUACUGACAACACAUAGGAAUGGUUAUGGCCCCUCAGGCAUCUGCAAACAAGGCGGAGCUGUGAGGAGUUGGGUGGACACUGGGCAGCAGGGAGGGCCAGGCCACUCCACCGCACAUGCAGUGCUCAGAGCUGAGAAGAGCCCAUCGCAUCCCACCACCCAAACUUGCACUCGGAGGCCAUCUGCUCACACUUAACCUAAUCACUCCAGACAGUUUUUCUGAAAAGCGUCAUGAAGACCUUCAGCAUGAAGCACCCACCAGUGCCUUAAACUCCUGCCCCAGGGCUAAAUCACACCAUGAGAGCUUCUCUUCUUCUCCCAGCACACGCAAGGUCCUGAGUUGGAUCCCUAUGACCAUCAAAUCAAAAUAGCUGGCCUCAGACGGUUUCCAGUGGCUCAUCCUGCCCGGAGCACAGACACUAAAUGUUAACAUCCAGUUGUCUGCACUUAGCUCCUGGUGCCAGGUGACUGCCCCAGGGCUCCCUCUGGGAGUGAUUGUCUUUUCUUCAAUGAUGCCAGUCAACCACCUGGCAAAACAUCAUGCUGGUGACAGGAAAGGGAAUUCACUUCAUUCCUCCAGCAUGGAUGGAGGACCCACGACCGAACACCAGACCUGGGCCAGAGCCUGCGGCGUGGAGCUGAGUAAUCAACCCCUGCCCACUGGGGAUUCUCAGGUCUGGGGGGAGAGGCAGACAUGAAAACAAACACGUCCUGUACAGUGCCAUUAGUCUUGUACCAGCCGCCUCGGGAGCCCAGAGUAACGAACACCAUCUGGGGGGUUCCCAGGGGACUCAGGGAAGGCCUUACUGCACGGGUGCCUCUGAGCGGAGGUCUGCAAGGAUGACUGAAAGCUUCCAAGCAGGAUAAGACAAGGGAAAGAAUUAAUUCUCCUCAGAAGGAACCACCUGUGGAAAAGCAGAGAGGUGAAGAAGGACACGGCGUGUCUCAGAAACAAACGGCAAGGUAGCAGAGGUCCAGACAGGAGCCCAAGCAAGUAAAGUGGGCAACUUCACCCCAGCCAUCGCCCCUCAGAGCUCUAGCUCCACAGCUCCUGUGUAAGCAGUGUUAUCUUUCUAUGUAGAGAUCAUGUCUGUUGUGUGGGUGUUCCAGGUCCACGAUUAUAAGGUACUGAUACAAACUGUCAUCUCAAGGAAUCCAAGUCUUAUGUUUGAAAAAGCCACUGGAAGGGUCAUCUGAAUCUUUAAGCAGUUGUGAUACUCUGAAAUGUGAUUGCUGACUGGAACUGUGAAGAACCUGAUACUUGACAGAGGGGGAACCAGGCCUCAGAGAAGUGAAGGGGCCACCCACCCUCAACAUGGCGGGAUAAGCCACACCCAGCUCUCCAUACCAACCAUGCCAAACUUCCUUUCCUUCCUUUUUCCCCUUCAGGUGCCCGGGCCAGUGUUCUUCACUCAAUGGACACACAAUAAUUCUGAUUAUUUUAUCCUCUCCA
ensembl:lncRNA